rnacentral:tRNA from 1 species
GCGCGUGUGAUGUAAUGGCAUGUAGCAUUCCUGUCAACAGGAGAUGCGGGUUCGAGUCCCGCCUGGUGCU